UGUCAGUUAUAUGCAUUUUGAGCAGUUGGUACAUGUUAUAAAUUGAUAAAUCUAAUCUUAUUCAUUAGUUAAUCAUCUAUUAUACAUGCAUUUCAUAUUCCUGAUCUUGGGUAAAUAAUGUCUUCCUCACUGUAUUUAUAGUAUUUAAUUUGUGCUAUUAGUUAAAAAAUGCUAAAAAUAUCAAGUUUAUAUUAUAGGAGCUGUCAGAGUAUCUUUAUUCUUUUACUUGCAGCGGUAGAAUGAAAAUCAAACUAAACUGAGAAAAUCUUGAAAAUAAAAAAUCUUAGCAAAAAAGGUAUAGUGUUAAUAAAUUUGCAACAGUUAUCUAUAGGUAUGAGCAUAAGAGCCUCUACACAUUUAGGAACCAAUAGCUGGAAAGGCAUAAAUAGGUAAGAGCCUGUGCAAGGGGCUGAUAUCCUUCCUUAAGGUGAGAUAUACCUUGACCCAAGCCACAGACUGGGUCCAGGGAUGCCGGUGCAUAUAUGAAGCCAUUUUUGAGCAAAUUAUAUUUAAGCCAUUACCACCACAAACUUGAGGUCAUGAUACUUGGCCAACCAUAUCUAACUACUAGGGUUACCACCCUGCAAUGCUGGCAAAUAUGUCAUUUGCAAAUAGUGCAUAAUUAGAUAUAGAAGUAUCUGAGCUUGUGAAAAAUUAGGAAGGGAAAGUUGAAUUAGUUUUGCACAGAUGUGGAGCAUGCUGGAUGGUUCUCAAGACUAUGGACAGCCCUGUUGGGCAAAACAAAGUUCCAACUGAGUUGGCUUUGCUUUUCUAACAACUGUCCUUUUUUCUACUGCUAAUUUGAGCAUGUCUUGUGCCAGUGUUAAUCCAUUCACAUUUCGUAAUUGCAAGGGUUGAGAAAUGUGUCUACUUUCCUGGUCUUGGAUGAAAGUUAUUUUUAAUACUGUGGCCCUGUGGGGGAUUGUGUUGCACGCAAGUACCAAAGAAGAGGUGGAGAGGCAAGUGAGGGGAGGGAAUCCUUAGAGAUUUCAGGUACCGGUGGCAGUUUGCCAAUAUAGUGUUGCUUUUGCAGCACUGAUUUUGGUUGGCCUUCCUAUUGGAUCUGCUUGAAGCAAGGUCGGGAUUUUAGCAGGGUAAAACAGGUUUUUGGAAAUCCGAUCAUGGUUGUUUCUAAAAAGGUUCCUCUAAUGGUACAGAUUUGUCCACUCAAGAGGAGAAUAUUUUACCAGAUACUGGUAUCUUCCACCAUUUUGUCCUAAAGUUUCCACAUUCUGUUGCAAGGCUGUCUUCUUGGCCUCCUUCACAAGUGCAAUUGAUGUCCCAUAGACAGUGACUAGUGAUGGGAUUUAUGAAAUGGAAGAUUGGCUUGCCCAAAUAGUCAAAGCUUUCAAUAAGCUUUUGUGCUGAGCCUGGUUCUGCUGAGUCAGUCUGUCUAAUCAUGAACAUUGAUGAAAAAAUUGGUGGAGUAGAAGGUUCUUUCAAGUGAGAAUGGUUAAACUUGAUUUCUACAGUUCCAUCAGCUUUUUUGGUAAAAUUGGUUUCUGUGGACUGAAUGGAAGUUUUGGCUUCUUGCAACUUUUCAUAAUUGGUGAUCCAUUUUUCUGGGAGUUUGGCAAGGUCCUUUCUAGGGAUUCUUUUGGGAACAAAUGAGCAAAUAGGAGCUUGUGAUGUAUUUAUGGCUAAAACCAGUGCAUCAUUUGAGCUUGUUUGAAUUUUAGAAAGAUUAAAUGCUUGGUCUUGAACUCUAUAAACCAUCUGGUAAUGGAGUAUUGCUAUAAUAGCAUAAGGUAUUUAUGGAGCUCCUAUGAUCUGAACUUGGACCUUUAAGGCAGACAAUAGGUUGGGUUCACAAAGGGCCAUAGUAUAAUUUAGGAAUAGAGUGACAAUUAAUGUUCCUGUGUUUAAGGUGGCUUCAACAGUACCAAUACAUGCAUGCUCGUACUUUAUGUACUUGGUAUCAAGUAAAGCCAUUCGGGUCACAACUGGUUGUCCUUCUCUCCCAUGAUAGUUUAGUGCUAGUUUGACUGCUCCAAAAUUGAUAUGUGAAUACCCAUGCUGAAUCCAUUGCUGUGGAAACUCAGGAGGUAUCUAGAGCGUAACAAACUGUUCUGCUUGAUCUCCUUGGAUGAAGUGUUUAUCAAAUCUUGUGGACUAGAUGUAUUCUUUUGGUGCUUUUGGAGAGUGUUUAAUUAAGGCCUUUAUGGAUUUUAUAGGUGAGGAGGUAGGUUUUGCAUAUAGGCAGAGUAAAGAUUAGUAAGGGGGAGCUGAGAUGGUUGGGUUUUUUUUUCUUCAAGGAUGUAAUCUACUUCAUAUAAGAAAUCUAUUUCGGAGAUGGAUUUUCUAA
rnacentral:sRNA from 1 species